rfam:Oryza sativa Japonica Group DNA, chromosome 12, cultivar: Nipponbare, complete sequence.
AAUAAGUGCAGUUUUACAUUAUUCAUGUCCAACGGUUGACCAUUCGUCUUAUUUUAAAUUUUUUAUGAUUACUAUUUUUAUUGUUAUUAGAUGAUAAAACAUGAAUAGUACUUUAUGUAUGACUAUUUUUUUUAUUUUUUUUUAUAAAUUUUUCAAAUAAGACUAAUGGUCAAACGUUGGACAUAGAUUUUCAUGGCUGCACUUAUU